rnacentral:rRNA from 1 species
UACGUAGGGUGCAGGCGUUAAUCGGAAUUACUGGGCGUAAAGCGUGCGCAGGCGGUUUUGUAAGACAGAGGUGAAAUCCCCGGGCUUAACCUGGGAACUGCCUUUGUGACUGCAAGGCUUGAGUGCGGCAGAGGGGGAUGGAAUUCCGCGUGUAGCAGUGAAAUGCGUAGAUAUGCGGAGGAACACCGAUGGCGAAGGCAAUCCCCUGGGCCUGCACUGACGCUGAUGCGCGAAAGCCAGGGGAGCGAACGGG